AUUCCACACCGUUACCUUCCCGUGGCUUGUCUGACCUCUAAAUUAUCUGCAGUUGCUUUUUAAUGCUCAACUGGCUUCCUCCUACUACCAGCUGGUGUGUGCUCAAGGGAUAUAAACCAAUGUUAGCAUUUGCUUUAAGAAAACACACUUAGGAUAGCAAGCGCUGGUGGGGGUGGAGGGUGGAUGUUCAUAUGAUGCGUGCUGAAGCAGAGACUUGGGUUUUCUCUUAGUCCCUGUUUUGUAUUAUCUCUGCUGCUGCUCUGAUUAAUUUGAACAAUUGAAACUUGAGAUACUUUGGGCUUUUGAGGAAAGAACUCCAAGUACUGUAGGAAGCAAAGUCAGUGUGUGACUAUUAGGAGGUGCUCAAAGUAUUAUUUCCAGAAAACAUACUUCCCCCAUCUUCUGAUGCAGGUAGAAAUUGACUUAUCUCAGAAGGGUUCCAUUGCUUCAUUAAACUUACCUAUUGCAGGCCUGUUUUUCAUGCUAGAAUGUAAGCUGCUUGAAGGCAGGGAUUGUGUCUUCCUUAUCUUUGUAUCCACAGCACCGAGCACAACUUGACACAGCAAGCAUUCAAGAAAGCUUUGUGGAAUCAACAGAUAAUGAAUGAGUGAAUGAUCACAAUCCAGCUUGUGCCAUCUCAGCUCCUGGGUGGAAUCAGGCACCCCUCCUGAUCAUACAGUCAUGGCAGUGCUCCUCAUGUGGUCCUGUUGUUGGCUUCUAGUUCUGUGGAAUGAAUGUAUGAAUGAGUGUCCUUCGGGAUGGGAGCCAACUUCAGGAUUGGAGCCAACAUUUCUCAAGGAUGGAGUCUUACUCUGUUGCCCAGGGUGGAGUACAGUGGCGCCAUACCAGCUCACUGCAACCUCUAACUGCGAGGCUUAAGUGAUUCUUGUGCCUCAGCCUCCCAAGUACCUGGGAUUACAGGUGAGUGCCA
rnacentral:lncRNA from 13 species